GACGAACGCUGGCGGCGUGCUUAACACAUGCAAGUCGAACGGAAAGGCCCUGCUUUUGUGUGGUGCCCGAGUGGCGAACGGGUGAGUAACCCGUGAGUAACCUGCCCUUGACUUUGGGAUAACUUGAGGAAACUGGGGCUAAUACCGACUAGGAGCUCCUGCUGCAGGGUGGGGUUUGGAACGUUUCGUCGGUUGGGGAUGGAGGGGCGGUUUAUCAGCUUGUUGGUGGGGUAGUGGCUUACCAAGGCUUGGAUGGGUAGCCGGACUGGGAGGGUGACCGGGCCCAGGGGAAUUGGGAUGGCGGCAAGACGGAUAAGGGAGGAAGGGGUGGGGAAUAUUGCAAGAUGGGCGGAAGGCUUAUGGAGGAACGCCGGGUGGGGGAUGACGGCCUGCGGGUUGUAAACCGAUUUCGCCUGUGACGAAGCGUGAGGGAGGGUAAUGGGGAAAGAAGCACCGGUAAAUUCGGU
rnacentral:rRNA from 1 species